rnacentral:tRNA from 1 species
AGCGGGAUAGCGCAGUUGGCCGCACGCCAGAUUCAUACUCUGGAAGCCGGCGGUUCAAGCCCGCCUCCCGCCACCA